rnacentral:rRNA from 1 species
GAUGAACGCUGGCGGCGUGCUUAACACAUGCAAGUCGAACGGUGAAGCUCCAGCUUGCUGGAGUGGAUCAGUGGCGAACGGGUGAGUAACACGUGAGCAACCUGCCCCUGACUCUGGGAUAACAGCCGGAAACGGCUGCUAAUACCGGAUAUGCACCAUGAACGCAUGUUCUGUGGUGGGAAAGAUUUUUCGGUUGGGGAUGGGCUCGCGGCCUAUCAGCUUGUUGGUGAGGUAAUGGCUCACCAAGGCGUCGACGGGUAGCCGGCCUGAGAGGGUGACCGGCCACACUGGGACUGAGACACGGCCCAGACUCCUACGGGAGGCAGCAGUGGGGAAUAUUGCACAAUGGGCGAAAGCCCGAUGCAGCAACGCCGCGUGAGGGAUGACGGCCUUCGGGUUGUAAACCUCUUUUAGCAGGGAAGAAGCGAGAGUGACGGUACCUGCAGAAAAAGCGCCGGCUAACUACGUG